UAGCUAGUUGGUGAGGUAAUGGCCCACCAAGGCGACGAUCGGUAGCCGGACUGAGAGGUUGAACGGCCACAUUGGGACUGAGACACGGCCCAGACUCCUACGGGAGGCAGCAGUGGGGAAUAUUGCACAAUGGGGGAAACCCUGAUGCAGCGACGCCGCGUGGAGGAAGAAGGUCUUCGGAUUGUAAACUCCUGUUGUUGAGGAAGAUAAUGACGGUACUCAACAAGGAAGUGACGGCUAACUACGUGCCAGCAGCCGCGGUAAAACGUAGGUCACAAGCGUUGUCCGGAAUUACUGGGUGUAAAGGGAGCGCAGGCGGGAAGACAAGUUGGAAGUGAAAUCCAUGGGCUCAACCCAUGAACUGCUUUCAAAACUGUUUUUCUUGAGUAGUGCAGAGGUAGGCGGAAUUCCCGGUGUAGCGGUGGAAUGCGUAGAUAUCGGGAGGAACACCAGUGGCGAAGGCGGCCUACUGGGCACCAACUGACGCUGAGGCUCGAAAGUGUGGGUAGCAAACAGGAUUAGAUACCCUGGUAGUCCACACUGUAAACGAUGAUUACUAGGUGUUGGAGGAUUGACCCCUUCAGUGCCGCAGUUAACACAAUAAGUAAUCCACCUGGGGAGUACGACCGCAAGGUUGAAACUCAAAGGAAUUGACGGGGGCCCGCACAAGCAGUGGAGUAUGUGGUUUAAUUCGACGCAACGCGAAGAACCUUACCAAGUCUUGACAUCCUGCGACGGACAUAGAAAUAUGUUUUUCCUUCGGGACGCAGAGACAGGUGGUGCAUGGUUGUCGUCAGCUCGUGUCGUGAGAUGUUGGGUUAAGUCCCGCAACGAGCGCAACCCUUAUGGUCAGUUACUACGCAAGAGGACUCUGGCCAGACUGCCGUUGACAAAACGGAGGAAGGUGGGGAUGACGUCAAAUCAUCAUGCCCUUUAUGACUUGGGCUACACACGUACUACAAUGGCGUUAAACAAAGAGAAGCAAGACCGCGAGGUGGAGCAAAACUCAGAAACAACGUCCCAGUUCGGACUGCAGGCUGCAACUCGCCUGCACGAAGUCGGAAUUGCUAGUAAUCGCAGAUCAGCAUGCUGCGGUGAAUACGUUCCCGGGCCUUGUACACACCGCCCGUCACACCAUGAGAGCCGGGGGGACCCGAAGUCGGUAGUCUAACCGCAAGGAGGACGCCGCCGAAGGUAAAACUGGUGAUUGGGGUGAAGUCGUAACAAGGUAACCGUACUAGUAC
rnacentral:rRNA from 1 species